CUGCCUAGCGAGCGUCGCGGGGUCGCGGGCCGAGCUCAGGUCUCCGGGUCCGCGGCUCCUCCAGGCCGCGGCCGAGACUGCGGCGGAGACAGAGCGGGCGCGAGGACCGGCCAGGCCAGGGCGCGGAAGAGGAAGAGGGCGCCGUCCCGCCGGGCGCCGCACAAAACCCCUUUCUUCCCGCCCCGCCCCGCCCCCUGGCCCCGAUCGCCGGGGGGCUCUGCGGGGUCACGGGACCCGCGGCCGUCCCUGCGUUGGUUCCGGGCGCGCCAAGUAGGACAUCCUUCCAGGGGUGGCCGCGGGGACGGAGGGAUGGAAGUCAGACACCCGGAGGGACUUCCCACUGGCCACGGGGCGCGGCGACGCGAGACGGCCCCAACCCCAUGCGGACGAGGAGCCCUUCUGGAGACUCGGCCGAGGUGCACACGGCUGCAGCCCCCUUCCUGGAGGACGCGCUGAUUGGAUUUUGUCCCCGUGCUGCUCCCGCUCUGCACGGAGGAGGAGCUGACUUUGCAGCUGGAGGGAUGGAGGCACUUGCUAUGUGAUUCAGGCUGGGCUUGAACUCACUAUGUAUUCCAGGCUGGACUUGAACUCACGGCAAUCCUCCUGCCUCAGCCUCCCAAGUACUGGGAUUACAGGUACUGGGGAUUGAACUUGGGACCUUGUGCUUUCGAGGCAGCUGGUGGCACCACUGAGCUAAAUCCCCAGCCCACUAAGGGCAUAUUUCCGAAGAGUGACCUGCCUCAGUCCUUCAAGAGGGAUCCAGAGGGAAGCCACAGCUGUGGUCAUGGGGGUGACAGGCACCUUGUCACUGCCUUCCGGGGGGAGAGGAUGUGGAGGCGGAAGGCAGAGACUGACACUCCUCAUCCUGUGUAGGCCUAGGCCAAUGUGUGUGUUUGCAUCUUGAUUUUUAAUUUUUUUAAAAGUUUAAAAAGUAAAAUAAAAUUUAAAUAGAAAAGCUUAUAUAACAAGGGUAUAAAACUACUUUUGUACAGCUGUACAUGUUUGUGUUUGAAGCUGUUAUUACAAAUGAGUCAAAAUGUUUAAAUUAUCAAGAGCAUAUAAAGUAAAAAUGUUACAGUAAACUGAAGUUAAUUUAUUACCGAAGGAAAAUACUGGUCAUCAAUUCAGUGCAGGCUAGGUGUGGCCUGUGUAAAGUCCACAGCAGUGCACAGAAACAUCCUGGGCUUCCACACUCACUUCACCACUCGGGGUACGUACAAGGCACCAUCUCUACCACAUCUUAACUGUGCCUUUUCUGCAUUUGAAUGCACGAAUACUGUUAUGGCUGUCUAGAUGUCUCCCAAAGCCCCAUGCAGUCGUAGCUGGGGGGUUUUCAGAGGUGGCUGGAUUUAAAGUGUGUAAUUGAUUCAUGGUGCAAUGCUAGGAUUAAGAGUGCUAGAAUUAAGGGUGUGUGAUUACUAAAUCAGUCCACUGAUUGGUUUGGCCCUGCCCUAAUCUCAGUAGCCUGAGUACAGUAUAAGGGACAGAAGAGGCUUGUCUUGUCCUGGCGAAGCCCAACCGACCUCCAAUGCUGCUUGACAAAGUUCCCGGUGGGGGAAAGAAAGGGUGGAACACAUCGUACCCUCAUGUUUUAUUUUUUCUUGCCAUAAUGUUUAUAAUUGUUACUCUGAUCACAGGAGUCAUUGUGUUUGUUACUAACAACAAACUCUCCAUGAGACAAAUUGGUAAUGAUACAUUGAAAUCUGAUCUGGCUCACAAGUCCCAAAUUCCAGUUUCUCUUAGUUCUAUUGCCACAUCCACUCCUAAAGAAACCUCUCCUAAAACCCCCUCUGUUUCCCCACUACUAUGACUCCCCCUCUUAUUGCUGACAUUCUUUUUACUAAAGGGGUCUUAUGAAGAGAUUGAAAGGACAGACUUUAGAUGUAAGAAAUAGUGGAAAGUGGGAAAUAGAAAGAACGUUAAGACAGGUAAAUGCAUUAAGGAGGCAAGUUACUCAGUAUUUCUCAAAGUGCUGUAAAUAUCUCCUGCUCGUGGACUAUGAACCCAAAUGACAUUUAGUUAAGAUGAAUAGAGGUAUAGAAAAACAGAGAGCUAAUAGCAAACUAUAUUAACCAUUGUGCAGUUUCUCAAGGGCCAGCUGGUGAUCACAAGUUUGACACUUAGUUGAUUAAAUCUUGCUUGUACCCCCGCUGAUAUAAAGAUUUUGAUUAAGUUACUUUCUGUUCUGUUUAGGUGUGGGUAAAUAAGGGGACAAUUGUAAUUUUUAAAUAUGUAUUUGUGACGUUCAAUGAAAUGAAACAGCUUAGAGGAAUUGUACUUUGUUUAGCAAAAAAUAACCUUUACUUCAAUAGAAAUUGCUAAGGCAAUCUAAAAUGUAAACAUGUUCCGCCCAGUGCCUCCUAGCCAUUGCUUAAAGAUAUAAAAAUAAAUCAGACCCUGAGACUUCUCAGAGGGAACCUGAACAUUGCUUGUGAAGGUUCUUUUCUCAUCGCUGGCCCAGGACAUCUCCCCUUCCUACCCUACAUCGACAUCAACUGCAGCUGGUUUGCAGCAUUGUCCCUUGUUGCUUUGUCACCUUCUGUCUGUCACAAACUGUUUCUCUUCCGUGAUGCCCCUUUGCCAUGCUUGACUUGGAG
ensembl:lncRNA